AGCUUGCUCCACCGAAAGAAAAAGAGUGGCGAACGGGUGAGUAACACGUGGGUAACCUGCCCAUCAGAAGGGGAUAACACUUGGAAACAGGUGCUAAUACCGUAUAACACUAUUUUCCGCAUGGAAGAAAGUUGAAAGGCGCUUUUGCGUCACUGAUGGAUGGACCCGCGGUGCAUUAGCUAGUUGGUGAGGUAACGGCUCACCAAGGCAACGAUGCAUAGCCGACCUGAGAGGGUGAUCGGCCACACUGGGACUGAGACACGGCCCAGACUCCUACGGGAGGCAGCAGUAGGGAAUCUUCGGCAAUGGACGAAAGUCUGACCGAGCAACGCCGCGUGAGUGAAGAAGGUUUUCGGAUCGUAAAACUCUGUUGUUAGAGAAGAACAAGGAUGAGAGUAAAAUGUUCAUCCCUUGACGGUAUCUAACCAGAAAGCCACGGCUAACUACGUGCCAGCAGCCGCGGUAAUACGUAGGUGGCAAGCGUUGUCCGGAUUUAUUGGGCGUAAAG
rnacentral:rRNA from 1 species